rnacentral:tRNA from 1 species
GGUCCAAUAGCUCAGCUGGAUAGAGCACUUGACUACGAAUCAAGGUGUCGGGAGUUCGAAUCUCUCUUGGGUCACCA